GGAAUAUUGGACAAUGGGCGAAAGCCUGAUCCAGCAAUGCCGCGUGAGUGAUGAAGGCCUUAGGGUUGUAAAGCUCUUUUACCCGGGAUGAUAAUGACAGUACCGGGAGAAUAAGCCCCGGCUAACUCCGUGCCAGCAGCCGCGGUAAUACGAAGGGGGCUAGCGUUGUUCGGAAUUACUGGGCGUAAAGCGCGCGCAGGCGGUCCUUCAAGUCAGAGGUGAAAGCCCAGAGCUCAACUCUGGAACGGCCUUUGAGACUAGAGGACUAGGGUAUGGGAGAGGUGAGUGGAAUUCCGAGUGUAGAGGUGAAAUUCGUAGAUAUUCGGAAGAACACCAGUGGCGAAGGCGGCUCACUGGCCCAUUACCGACGCUCAGGCGCGACAGCGUGGGGAGCAAAC
rnacentral:rRNA from 1 species